rnacentral:rRNA from 1 species
AUUGAACGCUGGCGGAAUGCUUUACACAUGCAAGUCGAGCGGCAGCGCGGGGGCAACCCUGGCGGCGAGCGGCGAACGGGUGAGUAACAUAUCGGAACGUACCCAGUCGUGGGGGAUAACUAUCCGAAAGGAUAGCUAAUACCGCAUACGUCCUGAGGGAGAAAGCGGGGGAUCGCAAGACCUCGCGCGAUUGGAGCGGCCGAUAUCGGAUUAGCUAGUUGGUGGGGUAAAGGCUCACCAAGGCGACGAUCCGUAGCGGGUCUGAGAGGACGACCCGCCACACUGGAACUGAGACACGGUCCAGACUCCUACGGGAGGCAGCAGUGGGGAAUUUUGGACAAUGGGGGCAACCCUGAUCCAGCCAUUCCGCGUGAGUGAAGAAGGCCUGGUGUAAGCUCUUCAGCAGGAACGAAACGGUGGUCCCGUAAUACGGACUACUAAUAGACGGUACC